rnacentral:rRNA from 1 species
AGCGAACGCUGGCGGCAGGCCUAACACAUGCAAGUCGAACGAACCCUUCGGGGUUAGUGGCGGACGGGUGAGUAACACGUGGGAACGUGCCUUUAGGUUCGGAAUAACUCAGGGAAACUUGUGCUAAUACCGAAUGUGCCCUUCGGGGGAAAGAUUUAUCGCCUUUAGAGCGGCCCGCGUCUGAUUAGCUAGUUGGUGAGGUAAUGGCUCACCAAGGCUACGAUCAGUAGCUGGUCUGAGAGGAUGACCAGCCACAUUGGGACUGAGACACGGCCCAAACUCCUACGGGAGGCAGCAGUGGGGAAUCUUGGGCAAUGGGCGAAAGCCUGACGCAGCCAUGCCGCGUGGAUGAUGAAGGUCUUAGGAUUGUAAAAUCCUUUCACCGGUGAAGAUAAUGACUGUAGCCGGAGAAGAAGCCCCGGCUAACUUCGUGCCAGCCGCCGCGGUAAGAC